rnacentral:rRNA from 1 species
AGGUGCUGCAUGGCUGUCGUCAGCUCGUGUCGUGAGAUGUUGGGUUAAGUCCCGCAACGAGCGCAACCCUUGUCCUUAGUUGCCAUCAUUAAGUUGGGCACUCUAGGGAGACUGCCGGUGUUAAACCGGAGGAAGGUGGGGAUGACGUCAAGUCCUCAUGGCCCUUAUGCCUAGGGCUACACACGUGCUACAAUGGCCGGUACAAAGGGCAGCGAUACCGCAAGGUGGAGCAAAUCCCAAAAAGCCGGUCUCAGUUCGGAUUGGAGUCUGCAACUCGACUCCAUGAAGUUGGAAUCGCUAGUAAUCGCGUAUCAGCAUGACGCGGUGAAUACGUUCCCGGGCCUUGUACACACCGCCCGUCACACCACGGGAGUCUAUUGUACCGGAAACCGGUGGGCUAACCUUCGGGAAGCAGCCGUUUAUGGUAUGAUCGGUAACUGGGGUGAAGUCGUAGCAAGAUA